rnacentral:rRNA from 1 species
AGUAGUUUGAUCAUGGCUCGAGGACGAACGCUGGCGGCGUGCCUAACACAUGCAAGUCGAGCGGAGACAUAUAGCGGACAGGAAGUUUUCGGAUGGAAUGGAAGGUAUAUGUUUUAGCGGCGGACGGGUGAGUAACGCGUGAGCAACCUGUCCUUCACGAGGGGGAUAACACAGCGAAAGUUGUACUAAUACCGCAUAAGACCACAGUACCGCAUGGUACAGGGGUCAAAGGAGCAAUCCGGUGAAGGGUGGGCUCGCGUCCGAUUAGAUAGUAGGUGAGGUAACGGCCCACCUAGUCGACGAUCGGUAGCCGACCUGAGAGGGUGAUCGGCCACAUUGGGACUGAGACACGGCCCAAACUCC